rnacentral:lncRNA from 1 species
UAUUUAAAAUUUGAUAAAAGAGCCAAAGUAUGAAUCUGAGAACUUAUUUAUAAGAUUUGGGGGAUUUGUUCAAAAAAAAAAAAAAUCUGAGGACCUAUUUGUGAACCCUGAGGACCUAAUCGUAAAUAUAAUAAUACAAGGACUAAACUGCAAAAUGCACAAAAUUACAAAUUCCACCGUUUAAGCCUCUCUGCCUUUGUUCAUAAGGAAC